AGAGUUUGAUCCUGGCUCAGAUUGAACGCUGGCGGCAUGCCUUACACAUGCAAGUCGAACGGCAGCACGGGAGCAAUCCUGGUGGCGAGUGGCGAACGGGUGAGUAAUAUAUCGGAACGUGCCCAGUCGUGGGGGAUAACGUAGCGAAAGCUACGCUAAUACCGCAUACGAUCUAUGGAUGAAAGCGGGGGAUCGCAAGACCUCGCGCGAUUGGAGCGGCCGAUAUCAGAUUAGCUAGUUGGUGGGGUAAAGGCCCACCAAGGCGACGAUCUGUAGCUGGUCUGAGAGGACGACCAGCCACACUGGAACUGAGACACGGUCCAGACUCCUACGGGAGGCAGCAGUGGGGAAUUUUGGACAAUGGGCGCAAGCCUGAUCCAGCAAUGCCGCGUGCAGGACGAAGGCCUUCCGG
rnacentral:rRNA from 1 species